rnacentral:rRNA from 1 species
UGAAGUCGUAACAAGGUUUCCGUAGGUGAACCUGCGGAAGGAUCAUUG